GAAGGUCACGGCGAGACGAGCCGUUUAUCAUUACGAUAGGUGUCAAGUGGAAGUGCAGUGAUGUAUGCAGCUGAGGCAUCCUAACAGACCGGUAGACUUGAACCUUGUUCCUACAUGACCCGAUCAAUUCGAUCAGGCACUCGCCAUCUAUUUUCAUUAUUCAACUCUUUGACAACACGAAAAACCAUUGUUCAACUCUUUGACAACAUGAAAAACCAAAAGCUCUGCCCUCCCCUCUAUCUAUCCAAGGGAUGGAAGGGCAG
rnacentral:rRNA from 2 species